UGGGAAAUAUUGCGCAAUGGGCGAAAGCCUGACCCAGCAACGCCGCGUGAAGGAUGAAGUAUUUCGGUAUGUAAACUUCGAAAGAAUAGGAAGAAUAAAUGACGGUACUAUUUAUAAGGUCCGGCUAACUACGUGCCAGCAGCCGCGGUAAUACGUAGGGACCAAGCGUUGUUCGGAUUUACUGGGCGUAAAGGGCGCGUAGGCGGCAAUUCAAGUCAUCUGUGAAAUCUCCGGGCUUAACUCGGAACGGUCAGAUGAUACUGCUUUGCUAGAGUGCAGAAGGGGCAAUCGGAAUUCUUGGUGUAGCGGUGAAAUGCGUAGAUAUCAAGAGGAACACCUGAGGUGAAGACGGGUUGCUGGGCUGACACUGACGCUGAGGCGCGAAAGCCAGGGGAGCAAACGGGAUUAGAUACCCAUGUAGUCCCUGAGCGGGCUGGCAAGGCGCAU
rnacentral:rRNA from 1 species